CCCCGAGUAUCCGCACACCCUCCUCAGCUGUGUACGACACCAAAUCCCCAGACCGGACAACCUAUGAAAACGCAACAAGACAUUUUGUCCGUUAAGCCCAACUGAAGAACCAAAGCAAAACACUCUAACAGGAAUGACUUCAGCUGCUAGUGACCUCAGAAACGGCAUCCUUGGCCGGCUUGGCUAUCUCCUUGACAAGGCACUCGGCGAUGGGGGCCUUGUGCUCCUUGAGGAUCGCGGCCGCCUUGUGGAGGAGCUCCGCACGCUUCCACAGCGGCGUCCGGGCCCAUGCCUUCUGCGCGACCUUGGCCGCGUCCAUCGCCUUGUUCACCUCCUCCUGCGUGCAUGCUGGACACACAGGGGAUCCGGACCGUCAGAAAAGUUUACUUACGUUGGGGGACUUGAAGCGAAGAUAAAAGAGAUGAGACGUCGGUCCCUCCAUGUUUGACAACCUUCUUGUGGCGAUCCACCGUGUAUUGUGACAAGAAUAUUUCCUUCGCUUAACGCAUGUAGUCCUCGUAUUGCUGUUGCUAAUCGGACGUCAGACUUUCAACAACCGGCUUCAGGAUAUUGUCCAGG